rnacentral:tRNA from 1 species
CCGUCGAUAGCUCAGUUGGUAGAGCGGUGGACUGUAGAGGUUUGCCCGACGCCGUCAUCCAUAGGUCGCUGGUUCGAAUCCGGCUCGACGGA